GAUAUCUCUAGAAGACAUCUGAAAGAGAUUAAAGAUUUAUCGGUGAUGGAUGGGGAUGCGUCUGAUUAGCUUGUUGGCGGGGUAACGGCCCACCAAGGCAACGAUCAGUAGGGGUUCUGAGAGGAAGGUCCCCCACAUUGGAACUGAGACACGGUCCAAACUCCUACGGGAGGCAGCAGUGAGGAAUAUUGGUCAAUGGACGAGAGUCUGAACCAGCCAAGUAGCGUGCAGGAUGACGGCCCUAUGGGUUGUAAACUGCUUUUAUAAGGGAAUAAAGUGAGUCUCGUGAGAUUUUUUGCAUGUACCUUAUGAAUAAGGACCGGCUAAUUCCGUGCCAGCAGCCGCGGUAAUACGGAAGGUCCGGGCGUUAUCCGGAUUUAUUGGGUUUAAAGGGAGCGUAGGCCGGAGAUUAAGCGUGUUGUGAAAUGUAGAUGCUCAACAUCUGCACUGCAGCGCGAACUGGUUUCCUUGAGUACGCACAAAGUGGGCGGAAUUCGUGGUGUAGCGGUGAAAUGCUUAGAUAUCACGAAGAACUCCGAUUGCGAAGGCAGCUCACUGGAGCGCAACUGACGCUGAAGCUCGAAAGUGCGGGUAUCGAACAGGAUUAGAUACCCUGGUAGUCCG
rnacentral:rRNA from 1 species